rnacentral:rRNA from 1 species
GACGAACGCUGGCGGCGUGCUUAACACAUGCAAGUCGAACGGAAAGGCCCUGCUUUUGUGGGGUGCUCGAGUGGCGAACGGGUGAGUAACACGUGAGUAACCUGCCCUUGACUUUGGGAUAACUUCAGGAAACUGGGGCUAAUACCGGAUAGGAGCUCCUGCUGCAUGGUGGGGGUUGGAAAGUUUCGGCGGUUGGGGAUGGACUCGCGGCUUAUCAGCUUGUUGGUGGGGUAGUGGCUUACCAAGGCUUUGACGGGUAGCCGGCCUGAGAGGGUGACCGGCCACAUUGGGACGGAGAUACGGCCCAGACUCCUCCGGGGGGCAGCAGUGGGGAAUAUUGCACAAUGGGCGGAAGCCUGAUGCAGCAACGCCGCGUGCGGGAUGACGGCCUUGGGGUUGUAAACCGCUUUCGCCUGUGACGAAGCGUGAGUGACGGUAAUGGGUAAAGAAGCACCGGCUAACUAC